rnacentral:rRNA from 1 species
UACGUAGGGUGCGAGCGUUGUCCGGAAUUACUGGGCGUAAAGAGCUCGUAGGUGGUUUGUCGCGUUGUUCGUGAAAACCGGGGGCUUAACCCUCGGCGUGCGGGCGAUACGGGCAGACUUGAGUACUGCAGGGGAGACUGGAAUUCCUGGUGUAGCGGUGGAAUGCGCAGAUAUCUGGAGGAACACCGGUGGCGAAGGCGGCAUCCUGGACCAUAACUGACACUGAUAAGCGAAAGCCAGGGGAGCAAACGGG